rnacentral:rRNA from 1 species
AGAGUUUGAUCAUGGCUCAGGAUGAACGCUGGCGGUAUGCCUAACACAUGCAAGUCGAACGAUGUCUUCGGACAUAGUGGCGGACGGGUGAGUAACGCGUGAGAAUCUGCCUCUAGGAUGGGGAUAACGGUUGGAAACGACCGCUAACACCCAAUAUGCCGUAAGGUGAAAAAUUUAUUGCCUGGAGAGGAGCUCGCGUCUGAUUAGCUAGUUGGUGGGGUAAGAGCUCACCAAGGCUUCGAUCAGUAGCUGGUCUGAGAGGAUGAGCAGCCACACUGGGACUGAGACACGGCCCAGACUCCUACGGGAGGCAGCAGUGGGGAAUUUUCCGCAAUGGGCGAAAGCCUGACGGAGCAAUACCGCGUGAGGGAGGAAUGCCUUUGGGUUGUAAACCUCUUUUCUCAGGGAAGAAGAUCUGACGGUACCUGAGGAAUAAGUAUCGGCUAACUCCGUGCCAGCAGCCGCGGUAAUACGGAGGAUGCAAGCGUUAUCCGGAAUCAUUGGGCGUAAAGCGUCCGCAGGUGGUUUCCAAAGUCUGCUGUUAAAGACUGGAGCUCAACUCCGGAACGGCGGUGGAAACUUGGAAACUAGAGUUCGGUAGGGGUAGCAGGAAUUCCCAGUGUAGCGGUGAAAUGCGUAGAUAUUGGGAAGAACAUCGGUGGCGAAGGCGUGCUACUGGACCGUAACUGACACUCAGGGACGAAAGCUAGGGGAGCGAAAGGGAUUAGAUACCCCUGUAGUCCUAGCUGUAAACGAUGGAAACUAGGUGUGGCUUGUAUCGACCCGAGCCGUGCCGUAGCUAACGCGUUAAGUUUCCCGCCUGGGGAGUACGCACGCAAGUGUGAAACUCNAAGGAAUUGACGGGGGCC